rnacentral:lncRNA from 1 species
AACAAUGUUGUUUAUAAUGUACUGAAAAUUAACUCUAUUAAGCCGUAUAGUUUAACAGCGUGUUCGCAUUAAGAAUAGUUUUAUAUAUAUAAACACACACCAGUCUAAGAAAGAAGCAGAUUAUAAUCAUGGCUUCUUUAGCUGAUCAGGAGGAAGAGACAAAUAAUUCCUCAUAUGCAAUGGAACUUGCAAGUGCAAUAGUGCUACCUGCAGUAAUGCAAGCAGUGGUAGAGCUUGAUGUGUUUGAGAUCAUAAGCAAAGCCGGUCCUGGUGCUAAGCUUUCGGUUGCGGAGAUUGUGGCUCAAAUUCCCUUAAAAGAUAAUAAUCCUGAAGCUGCAGCCACGACGUUGGAUCGGGUGCUGAGGCUGCUUGUCAGCUACAACGCUCUCCAUUGCUCUUUUGUCGAUUGACAAAGGCUCUACUCUCUUGCUCCUGUUUCAGCAUACUUUGUUCGCAAUAAUCUCUAUUCUUUCGGAAAGAUAUGGGAUUAAUUCGACAAUUUCGGAAAUGCCUGGGAAUAAUGCAGCUUCAAGGGAAAUCUCUAUUUUGGAUACGGUUUUGUUAGUCCAACUUCCUCAUGGAAGAGAGCAGACCAAACAAGAGUACAUUGAAUUGGCAGUCAAAGCUGGAUUUAAAGGUGUCAACUAUGAUUAUGGUGCGUGCAAUUUAUAUGUUAUGGAAUUCUUCAAAUAAAUUGCAUACUUAAUUUCAUUUUGGAAAGAUCUUCUCAACCCUUGGGGAGUUUCCAACAAGUAUUUUUAUCUUACCUUACUAUUAUUAUUAUUUUUUUGUUCAUUUCAAAGUUGAAAAAAUCAGUAAUGUAUAACUUUUUUAUCAUUUAAAGUAAGAACAUUUGACUUUUGAAAGAGUAGUUAUAGAGAACUCAUUCUAUGCCAUCUCAACCUCACACAAGAGUAAUUAAAACUAGAGCUAAUGUUAAAGUAGUUCUAAAUUUUGAAUUCAUUACAAACUUAUCCUAAAAAUUUGCCUUAGUGGAGUUUAUGUGUGGUACUGGUGUUUAUUUCAUUUUUAUUUCUAAAAACAUAGUAAAUUAAGUGCACCACUAAGUGAACCAGAUGAAGACUGGAAAUUAUUAAAAAUGGAUUGUGGAGAUUUGGUUUUUCAUCAAACAACUACUAAGAGCUAAUAUUGCUCAAUGGAAGAAGAAAAAAGAAAAAAAAAUCUGAAUAUUAUGAUUAUCUUUGAAAGGUACAAAGUGAAUAGAGAAAAAAAAAAGAAAAAAUUUUGAGUUCCUUUAUUGGACGAGUAUUUUGAUUAGGAGAAAUUUUAUAAUGUUGUAAUUAAAAUGAUGGUAUUAAUGCCGUGAUAAAUAUGAAUUUUGUAAAUUACGCAUAAGACUAGUAAAUGAAAAGUAAAAUAAGUAAAUUAAUAUAAGAAUGGUAAAUUGGCGUCUUAAAACUACAAACUAAACAAAUACUUAUAAAAAUAACAUAAAACUUGUAAAUCAACAUUAAACUUUAAUUAAAAAAUAAUUUAUUCAUUUAAUUUACAUAAAUGAUGAAAAAAUCACUCAUCAAUUGAAAAAAUAUAUAUAUUUAAAACAAUUGUAAUAAGUUUUAUUGUAUUGUUUAACUAUAUGUUCUAUAUUCAUUCUUGGACAUUAAAAAAAUGAAUCUUUUAAAAAAAAUGAAUCUUUUUCUAUCUAUAGUAUUUGAUACUACACAUGUUAAUUAAGCAAAAAUUAUUUUUUUUGACGUGAAUCAAGCAAAAAAAAAAAGAUUUUCUUAUAUUACUAGAUGUACAUGAUAUAUCAAUAAAAUUGGAUCUAAUUUUUAGUGCUAUAUAUACUUCAUGUAAUUUUAAACUAUGUUUCUUAUUGUACUUAAAGAUCAUUUGGGUUUACGGUCAAGGAGGCUUAAAAGCAUACAACAUCACCUUAUUUUACAAGCAGUGAGGUUUGAAUGUCUAACUUUCAGGAUAGGUUUAUCAUUAAUAAAAUUUCACAUAUGUCAUCACAUAUAUUAUACAACCUCAUAAUGUGACAAUUAGCUUAUAUAUUUACUAAUUUUGAUUCUAAAUUGAGUUUAGAAUCAAAAUUAUGAGCUAAUAGUCACAUUAUGAGUUUUUAUUUUAUAUUUGUAAGUUUUUAUUUUUACAUUAAGGUACUUGUUUUACCUUCUAUUUACAAGUAUUACAUUCUAUUUACAUCAUUUAUAUUUUAUUUUAUGAUUAAUGUUGAUUUACCACUUCUAUGUUACAUGUAUAAGUUUUUAUUUUGUUUAUCAAUAAUAUAAUGAUUUAUCACUUUUAUGUUAAUUUAUUUGUUUUACCUUCUAUUUACAAGUUUUAUGUCCCAUUUACUUUUUUAUGUUUUAUUUACACUUUAAUGUUAAUUUACAAAUUUUAUAUUAUAUGUAUAAGUUUUUGUUUUAUUUACUAAUGAUACACCAAUUAACUACUCCUAUAUUAGUUUACUUAUUUUACCUUCUAUUUACAAAUCUUGUAUUCUAUUUAACACAAAUGUUGGCAUGAGAUUCCUGACAUAUUUCUAAAAUCAAAAUAAGAUGCAUAGAGGACAAUAAUUUUAUUUCAUAAUUAAAAUUUUUGUAAAGAAAGUUUGAAUAUGAGAGGGGUGAGAGAUGAGAAUAUUGACGAUGGUGUGUACUUUGGAUGGAAAAAUAGAUUGNNNNNNNNNNNNNNNNNNNNNNNNNNNNNNNNNNNNNNNNNNNNNNNNNNNNNNNNNNNNNNNNNNNNNNNNNNNNNNNNNNNNNNNNNNNNNNNNNNNNNNNNNNNNNNNNNNNNNNNNNNNNNNNNNNNNNNNNNNNNNNNNNNNNNNNNNNNNNNNNNNNNNNNNNNNNNNNNNNNNNNNNNNNNNNNNNNNNNNNNNNNNNNNNNNNNNNNNNNNNNNNNNNNNNNNNNNNNNNNNNNNNNNNNNNNNNNNNNNNNNNNNNNNNNNNNNNNNNNNNNNNNNNNNNNNNNNNNNNNNNNNNNNNNNNNNNNNNNNNNNNNNNNNNNNNNNNNNNNNNNNNNNNNNNNNNNNNNNNNNNNNNNNNNNNNNNNNNNNNNNNNNNNNNNNNNNNNNNNNNNNNNNNNNNNNNNNNNNNNNNNNNNNNNNNNNNNNNNNNNNNNNNNNNNNNNNNNNNNNNNNNNNNNNNNNNNNNNNNNNNNNNNNNNNNNNNNNNNNNNNNNNNNNNNNNNNNNNNNNNNNNNNNNNNNNNNNNNNNNNNNNNNNNNNNNNNNNNNNNNNNNNNNNNNNNNNNNNNNNNNNNNNNNNNNNNNNNNNNNNNNNNNNNNNNNNNNNNNNNNNNNNNNNNNNNNNNNNNNNNNNNNNNNNNNNNNNNNNNNNNNNNNNNNNNNNNNNNNNNNNNNNNNNNNNNNNNNNNNNNNNNNNAAAUAAAAGGACACUGGGUUGGUUAGCGGGACCCUAAUUUAAUGGUAAAAAAUAAAAGGACACUGGGUUGCUAUCAAUUUCUACGGUGUGGUACGUUCAUAGCCGGGGAAGUAAUUACAUUAGCGGGACCCUAACAUAAAUAAAAGGACACUGGGUUGGUUAGCGGGACCCUAAUAUUAAUGGUAAAAAAUAAAAGAAAACUGAGUUGCUAUCAAUUUCCACGGUGUAGGUUCAUAGCCGGGGAAGUAAUUAUAUUAGCGGGACCCUAAUAUUAAUGGAGACCUAAUAUUAAUGAUAAAAAAUAAAAGGACACUGGGUUACAAUCAAUUUCUACAGAGUGGGUUCAUAGCCGGAGAAGUAAUUGGGCAAUAAGUUUUAUUGUAUUGGUUUAACUAUAUAUUCUAUAUUCAUUCUUCGACAUAAAAAAAAAUGAAUCUUUUAAAAAAAAAUGAAUCUUUUUCUAUCUAUAGUAUUUGAUACUACACAUGUUAAUUAAGCAAAAAUUUUUUUUUUUUACGUGAAUCAAGCAAAAAAAAAAAAGAUUUUCUUAUAUUACUAGAUGUACAUGAUAUAUCAAUAAAAUUGGAUCUAAUUUUUAGUGCUAUAUAUACUUCAUGUAAUUUUAAACUAUGUUUCUUAUUGUACUUAAAGAUCAUUUGGGUUUACGGUCAAGGAGGCUUAAAAGGAUACAACAUCACCUUAUUUUACAAACAGUGAGGUUUGAAAGUCUAACUUUCAGGAUAUGUUUAUCAUUCUUAUAUUACUAGAUGUACAUGACAUAUCAAUAAAAUUGGAUCUAAUUUUUAGUGCUAUAUAUACUUCAUGUAAUUUUAAACUAUGUUUCUUAUUGUACUUAAAGAUCAUUUGGGUUUACGGUCAAGGAGGCUUAAAAGCAUACAACAUCACCUUAUUUUACAAGCAGUGAGGUUUGAAUGUCUAACUUUCAGGAUAGGUUUAUCAUUAAUAAAAUUUCACAUAUGUCAUCACAUAUAUUAUACAACCUCAUAAUGUGACAAUUAGCUUAUAUAUUUACUAAUUUUGAUUCUAAAUUGAGUUUAGAAUCAAAAUUAUGAGCUAAUAGUCACAUUAUGAGUUUUUAUUUUAUAUUUGUAAGUUUUUAUUUUUACAUUAAGGUACUUGUUUUACCUUCUAUUUACAAGUAUUACAUUCUAUUUACAUCAUUUAUAUUUUAUUUUAUGAUUAAUGUUGAUUUACCACUUCUAUGUUACAUGUAUAAGUUUUUAUUUUGUUUAUCAAUAAUAUAAUGAUUUAUCACUUUUAUGUUAAUUUAUUUGUUUUACCUUCUAUUUACAAGUUUUAUGUCCCAUUUACUUUUUUAUGUUUUAUUUACACUUUAAUGUUAAUUUACAAAUUUUAUAUUAUAUGUAUAAGUUUUUGUUUUAUUUACUAAUGAUACACCAAUUAACUACUCCUAUAUUAGUUUACUUAUUUUACCUUCUAUUUACAAAUCUUGUAUUCUAUUUAACACAAAUGUUGGCAUGAGAUUCCUGACAUAUUUCUAAAAUCAAAAUAAGAUGCAUAGAGGACAAUAAUUUUAUUUCAUAAUUAAAAUUUUUGUAAAGAAAGUUUGAAUAUGAGAGGGGUGAGAGAUGAGAAUAUUGACGAUGGUGUGUACUUUGGAUGGAAAAAUAGAUUGACGUUCAUAGCCGGGGAAGUAAUUACAUUAGCGGGACCCUAACAUAAAUAAAAGGACACUGGGUUGGUUAGCGGGACCCUAAUAUUAAUGGUAAAAAAUAAAAGGAAACUGAGUUGGUAUCAAUUUCUACGGUGUAGGUUCAUAGCCGGGGAAGUAAUUAUAUUAGCGGGACCCUAAUAUUAAUGGAGACCUAAUAUUAAUGAUAAAAAAUAAAAGGACACUGGGUUACAAUCAAUUUCUACAGAGUGGGUUCAUAGCCGGAGAAGUAAUUGGGCACAAAUAUCAUGGUGAACACGGAUGAGAAAUAACCAUUUUAUCCCCGCAACUUUAUGUUUAUGGCCUCUAAAAAUUUUCACCUCUUUCACUUCUGGAACCCGCGCUUUCUGGCACAUGCACAAUACUUGGUUGCGACUUAUAGAGAGUUUUAGAAUUGCAACGACAUGGUGCUCUUUGAUAAUUCAAAAAUCCAAUAGAAUUUAUAGAGAAUUACAGAAUUGUGGUACGUGAUAAUUUGCUGAUGCAGUGAGGGGCCGAAAUUCUUGUACAUGUGAUUAAGUUAUAGAUGUAUAAUUAAGUAAUUAGCAAGCACUAAUUGGGGGUAUUUGUGUCCAUGAAAAUUUACAGUUGGUUGUUGACAUUAUACUGUGGGUGCGUAAGUGCAAUCACGAUCUGACCAUUCAAAUUAAAAAAUGGGGGUCCCACUAAUUAUAAAGUUUGUAAUUAUCACAUAUACAGAUAUGGUCGCAUAUGAAAAUCUUAUCAUAAAUUGAAUGGAUUCGAUGACUUAAUUGAAGUUAUGAACGGAUAUUUAAAUAAAAGAAAAUUUAUAAUAAAGAAAAGUAUUAAUUUGUUGUGAAUGUAACUUAUAUAAGCUGUAAGUUAGCGGGACUCUUCAAAUAAUUCUAAUAUUUUGAUUUUUAAUUCUUAUAUUUAAAAAAAUAUCUUUUGUAGUUAAAUAUAUUUUUUUUUUAUCCUUACUUUUACUUUACUUUUAUAAUAAUAGCCUUCUAAUUUUUUUUAACAUUAAUUAAGUUAUUUAUAAAAUUUUAAUUAUAAAAUUUACUAAUAAUUAUUUAUUAAUAAAUUAACUAAUAAAUAUCAGUAUGAAAGAACUAAUAUUUUUUUAACCCAUGCAGGGAUCAAACCCGAGAGCUCUUUCCACUUACCCAACCUGCGUCGCCAACUGAACCACAACCGUUUGAUUAGGUCUUUGUUCUUUAGAGAAUAGAUCCUAUUGAAAUUUGAACACGAAUAUCGAUUACUCACAAAUAAAAUAAAUUUGCUGAGGCGGCUCGACUAAGACGUACGGGCAGCAUAAUUAAGUCCUCAUAACUCUCAAGUGCAGGCAUCAAAAAAUCAAAACUGAGAAUGACUGGUGAUAUAUAUAUAUAUAUAUAUAGACACCUCAAGCAAUUAAGAAAGAAGCAAAUUAUAAUCAUGGCUUCUAUAGCUGAUCAGGAAGAAGAGACAAAUAAUUUCUCACAUGCAAUGGGACUUGCAAGUGCAAUAGUGCUACCUGCAGUUAUGCAAGCAGUGGUAGAGCUUGAUGUGUUUGAGAUCAUAAGCAAAGCCGGUCCUGGUGCUAAGCUUUCGGUUGCGGAGAUUGUGGCUCAAAUUCCCUUAAAAGAUAAUAAUCCUGAAGCUGCAGCCACGACGUUGGAUCGGGUGCUGAGGCUGCUUGUCAGCUACAACGCUCUUCAUUGCUCUUUUGUCGAUGGACAAAGGCUCUACUCUCUUGCUCCUGUUUCAGCAUACUUUGUUCGCAAUAAUCUCUAUUCUUUCGGAAAGAUAUGGGAUUAAUUCGACAAUUUCGGAAAUGCCUGGGAAUAAUGCAGCUUCAAGGGAAAUCUCUAUUUUGGAUACGGUUUUGUUAGUCCAACUUCCUCAUGGAAGAGAGCGGUAUUUAUAAAAAAUUAAUUUACCAAAUUAAUCUUAAAACUAAAUUAAUAACAUAAAAAUUUAGCUGUAGUUAAAUAUAUUUUAUUUUUAUCCUUACUUUUACUUUACUUUACUUUUAUAAUAAUAGCCUUCUAAAAUUUUUUUAACAUUAAUUAAGUUAUUUAUAAAAUUUUAAUUAUAAAAUUAACUAAUAAAUAUCAGUACGAAAGAAUUAAUAUUUUUUUAACCCAUACAAUAAUCUUGCAAAUAAUUUUUUUAUAAAUAAAAAUUAAUAUCAACUAACUUAAAGUGGUGUUUAAUAUCCUUACAAUAAUUAUAUUAAUAUUUAUUUAUAAAAAAUUAAUUUACCAAAUUAAUCUUAAAACUAAAUUAAUAACAUAAAAAUUUAUAAAACUAAUUAUUUUACUUUUCAUCGGCUGCAAUUUGUUGAAACUUGGGUGAAGACAAAUUGAGAUCUUAGAAAUCUCCAAUGAGAUAAUAAAAUAUAAUAUAUAUGUUAGGUCUUUGUUCUUUAGAGAAUAGGAGUCAUCAUAUAGUACCGCGCUGUAUGUAAUACAGCUGCUUCAACAGUGAAAAAAAAACUUGAACAAUCGGUAUUUUACCGGUUGUUCAUCUAAUAAUUUUUAAAAAAUUUAUUUUUAAUGUGAAAAAAAUAAGGAAAUUUAUAAACAAUUAAUAUUAAAAAGAUUUGAGUAAGAAAAAUAUUUUUAAUUUAAAAAAAAGUUAAAAAAAGAGUAAAAUAAUCAUGUUCCAAUUUUUUUGGUUAAAUAUCAAUAUAUUAGGUGGACGUUUCAAAUUAAUUUCACAUGUCCCUAAUUUUCGUUAAACUUUCUCAAUAAUUGGUUUAUUUGUUUCCACUUCUCAAUCCACUAGUUUUAUGUAUAAUAUUCCUACUAAAUUCGUUAAAUACAAUUUUUUUAGGUUAAAUUCCAAGUAAAUUCAUUUCUCGUUAAAUAAGUUCCUAAAUUUGGUUACACUUUCUCCCUUUUUGGUUUAUAUGUUUCAACUAUUAUUUCACAACCUUAUGUUAUUAAAGAUGCCCCAUCUUAUUCAGGUACUUUAUUUAUAAAAUCUGUAUAACAUAUUUGUUAAUGAUUCAUCGAUGCUACACUAGCUAACAAAAGUUAGUUAGUUCACAUGUUUCAAAUUAUCAGUCCACUAGUUUUGUGUUAGGUAUUCCUACUAAGUUCGAUCAAUACCAAUUAAGGAAAAAUUAAAUAGAGAGAAUGACAUUUUUCUCCCUAUUGUUUUUGAGUUAACACGUACCCUAACCAUGUUACUCACUUGGUAUUAGAACUUUGAUAGAAAAAUUCAAAGGGAUAAUAAGAUAUUAUGAAAACUAUUAAAAGAAAAAAAAAGGUAAAACUCAAAACUAUAUAUACAAGGAAAGUGUCAACAACUCUCUUUUUUUCUUCAAUGGUAAAAUGGGUGGGCAUAGCCCAAAUUAACUAAUUAUUGAUCCCAUAUCUCCCUUGAGUUCAAACUUGGGUGACAAUUAAAUAAAAUUGAUUGAAAACAAUUCGAUCAGGCACCUCGGGUGGAAAGUAUCAAUCUCUCUUCUUUAUGAAUGCUUUGUUCAAUCACAUAAAUUGAUCAUAGAUAUCCGGAUAGAACAAAUGAGAAUUAAUAUGAAUACAUGGAACUUUUGCAGUGGAUGCUUCAUAGUUUUGAUGAUGAACAAGCCUUGAAAGUGUUGAAGAAUUGUUAUAAAGCUCUUCCAUAUGGUGGGAAGCUGCUUAAUAUUAAUUCGACAAUUUCGGAAAUGCCUGGGAAUAAUGUAGCUUCAAGGGAAAUCUCUAUUUUGGAUACGGUUUUGUUAGUCCAACUUCCUCAUGGAAGAGAGCGGACCAAACAAGAGUACACUGAAUUGGCAGUCAAAGCUGGAUUUAAAGGUGUCAACUAUGAUUAUGGUGCGUGCAAUUUAUAUGUUAUGGAAUUCUUCAAAUAAAUUGCAUACUUAAUUUCAUUUUGGAAAGAUCUUCUCAACCCUUGGGGAGUUUCCAAUUUCCUAUUUGUGUUAAUUAUUUUCUCUUUUGCUUGGCCUUGGGGCUUGUCUUAUGUACUUUCUUUCAUCUUAUGAAAAUAACUGCUGUACCGUACAUCCGCCUUGGCCGUACAGCAGCGAUUAUGAUUCUUUUACGUGCAGGCCCUAAAAUAGAUUCUAAUCAAUUAGCCCAAAUCCAAGCAUCAAGCCCAUUUGAUUUAUUUUGCGAUUGCCUUGCACAGUUGCACUUGCAGCUAUUGAAUUCUUCCUUUUCUUCUUCUUCUUCUUCUUCCAUUUCGAUUCUUUUGUGAGCAUUUUCUCUCCAAACUUUAAUUGAUUACCCUGUUCAACAAAAUAAAGUAAUUAUCUGAAAAAAAAAAGAGACUAGUUAGUACAUAAUUAGAGGGGGAAUAUAUCAAUUUAUUAUGCCCAUCAAAUACCUCCAAACCUAAAUUUUGCUUGUUCUUAAGCAAAACUAAGAAUGAAAAAUAAAGAAGCCGAAAUAAAUUCUAACUAAACCACUUUUGCAUGCAGUAACUAUUAUAUUUAGUAUAUGCAACAAGUAUUUAAACCCCUAAACAUCUCUAAUGGACAAGUUAUAGUCUCAUGAGGGUUUUCAGUGACGAUAUCCACGAACAUCAUCAAGAUUAAAUUAAAGAUAAUAAAUGAAUAUUAAAAAUAAUGACAUUUUUUUCUCUCUUUCAAGGCACUUGCAUUCAUCUCUUUGAUUAGAUUAAUAACAACAAUGAAAUAAAAAUAUAAACAUUGUCUCCUACCUAAAGAAAUAUCACUCCUAUUCACACGAUCAACUAAGUAAAUUCAUCUCGGACUUUAAUCUUGGACUUUCAUUCCAGAUACUAUAUAUAUAUACAUAUACAUACAUACAUACAUACAUACAUACAUAUAUAAUUUUCUGAUUCGGGAUCAUAAAGUGCGGGAAACGUUUGGGAAAACUUUAAAACCGCAGGAUUUUAAAAGUUUAAAACUUAAAGCGCUUAAACCGCACGGUUUAUACAUUUUCCCGGACAUUCUCGCACUUUAAAAUAUAUAUAUAUAUAUAUCUGCUCAGGAGAUUUCUUGAACUUGAAAUUAUUUAUACUUAACUUUUGAUCUUUAUAAAUGUUAUGCCCAUUUUAUAAUUCAAUUAAUUAUAUUUAUUUAUCUUUAAACUAAAAUAAAUCAAGAAUUAAGAUUUUUUUAAUUCAAAUUAAAUUUUUACCACUGUUUUCUUUUCAAAUUCUUUUUCUUAAUUUCUUAUUACUUCAACCAAAAAUUUAUGCUAUUAAUUAUAAAGAUUAAUAUAUUAUACUUGUAUUAUUAUCACUAUUAUUAUUUUUUUACUCUUACUAAAAUUAUUAUUAUUACUAUCUUGCCCCAUGAGAUUUGUUAACAAUUUUUUUUAAAUAAUGAGUAUCCUUCUUUUCGUUUUUAAGUAUGGAUAUAAUUUUUAAUUUAUAAAAUAAGUUCUUAAAUUUUCAAGACUUAACUAAAAUAAUUUUUAAGAGUUUAUUAUGACUAAUAUGGUUAUGAACAUUUAUUACUAUAGUAGCAACACUUUAUACCAUACCAUUUCAUAUUUAUUACUAUACCAAAAUUUGUUUAUUUAUUUUAUGAUUAUCCCAUGAACUGUGAAAAUUAACUUUUAUAUUAAAAUUGAAAAAUUUGUAAAUUUGUAUUACAUUGAUCCAAUUCUACUAAGCCACAAUUUAUUUAUCUUUAAUUAAUGCUUUAAACACAGUAAACGCAAUUCAAAUUCAACAAUAUUUUGUAAAAUAAAAAAAUAAAAAAAUCAAUGCAAUCAAGAAAGAAGAAAAUAUAUACAUAUACAUAUACAAACACACACACACACACACACACACACACAUAUAUAUAUGUAUGUAUGUAUGUUUAUAUAUGUAUAUAUUUUGUUGAUAUAAAAUUAAUUAUUUACAACUAUAUUAAUAAUUUAAUAUAGAUGAGAUAAACUACUAUGUAAAUAUAUUAAUAAUCAAAUUAUGGCUAUCAGUUAAUUUAGUUGUAAAUCAUUUGAGUUCAAAACAAAACAGUUGAGGUUUGAAUCUAUGGGCGCAAAUUUAGUUGUUAUUAAGCUAUAUUGAAAAAAAAUCAUAUUCAAAUUCAAUUCCUUUUACCACAAUUGUAAUAAGUUUUAUUGUAUUGGUUUAACUAUAUAUUCUAUAUUCAUUCUUGGAUUUAAAAAAAAAUGAAUCUUUUUCUAUCUAUAGUAUUUGAUACUACACAUGUUAAUUAAGCAAAAAUUAUUUUUUUUUGACGUGAAUCAAGCAAAAAAAAAAAAAGAUUUUCUUAUAUGACUAGAUGUACAUGAUAUAUCAAUAAAAUUGGAUCUAAUUUUUAGUGCUAUAUAUACUUCAUGUAAUUUUAAACUAUGUUUCUUAUUGUACUUAAAGAUCAUUUGGGUUUACGGUCAAGGAGGCUUAAAAGCAUACAACAUCACCUUAUUUUACAAGCAGUGAGGUUUGAAUGUCUAACUUUCAGGAUAGGUUUAUCAUUAAUAAAAUUUCACAUAUGUCAUCACAUAUAUUAUACAACCUCAUAAUGUGACAAUUAGCUUAUAUAUUUACUAAUUUUGAUUCUAAAUUGAGUUUAGAAUCAAAAUUAUGAGCUAAUAGUCACAUUAUGAGUUUUUAUUUUAUAUUUGUAAGUUUUUAUUUUUACAUUAAGGUACUUGUUUUACCUUCUAUUUACAAGUAUUACAUUCUAUUUACAUCAUUUAUAUUUUAUUUUAUGAUUAAUGUUGAUUUACCACUUCUAUGUUACAUGUAUAAGUUUUUAUUUUGUUUAUCAAUAAUAUAAUGAUUUAUGACUUUUAUGUUAAUUUAUUUGUUUUACCUUCUAUUUACAAGUUUUAUGUCCCAUUUACUUUUAUUUACACUUUAAUGUUAAUUUACAAAUUUUAUAUUAUAUGUAUAAGUUUUUGUUUUAUUUACUAAUGAUACACCAAUUAACUACUCCUAUAUUAAUUUACUUAUUUUACCUUCUAUUUACAAAUCUUGUAUUCUAUUUAACACAAAUGUUGGCAUGAGAUUCCUGACAUAUUUCUAAAAUCAAAAUAAGAUGCAUAGAGGAUGAUCAUUUUAUUUCAUAAUUAAAAUUUUUGUAAAGAAAGUUUGAAUAUGAGAGGGGUGAGAGAUGAGAAUAUUGACGAUAGUGCGUACUUUGGAUGGAAAAAUAGAUUGAAAAUAUAUAUAGACAUAUUAAAAGAAAAAAAUCUGAUCUAUACCUCAAGAGAAAUAAGAAAUUAUAAAUGCAGGUGGUCAAAUGUAUUUAUAAUUUAUAAUUUUUUAUAAAUAUGAUAAUCAUUAGACCCAUAUAAAAGUAUAGCAAAAUGUUUAAAUUUUUUUUAAUAAAUGUAGAAGAGAUGGACGAAGAAAACAGCCACCAGUUCAGAAUUAACAAUCAAAGAUAUGAGGACUUGAUCGAAGAAAUGUGAAAAAUAAAAGGACACUGGGUUGGUUAGCGGGACCCUAAUUUAAUGGUAAAAAAUAAAAGGACACUGGGUUGCUAUCAAUUUCUACGGUGUGGUACGUUCAUAGCCGGGGAAGUAAUUACAUUAGCGGGACCCUAACAUAAAUAAAAGGACACUGGGUUGGUUAGCGGGACCCUAAUNNNNNNNNNNNNNNNNNNNNNNNNNNNNNNNNNNNNNNNNNNNNNNNNNNNNNNNNNNNNNNNNNNNNNNNNNNNNNNNNNNNNNNNNNNNNNNNNNNNNNNNNNNNNNNNNNNNNNNNNNNNNNNNNNNNNNNNNNNNNNNNNNNNNNNNNNNNNNNNNNNNNNNNNNNNNNNNNNNNNNNNNNNNNNNNNNNNNNNNNNNNNNNNNNNNNNNNNNNNNNNNNNNNNNNNNNNNNNNNNNNNNNNNNNNNNNNNNNNNNNNNNNNNNNNNNNNNNNNNNNNNNNNNNNNNNNNNNNNNNNNNNNNNNNNNNNNNNNNNNNNNNNNNNNNNNNNNNNNNNNNNNNNNNNNNNNNNNNNNNNNNNNNNNNNNNNNNNNNNNNNNNNNNNNNNNNNNNNNNNNNNNNNNNNNNNNNNNNNNNNNNNNNNNNNNNNNNNNNNNNNNNNNNNNNNNNNNNNNNNNNNNNNNNNNNNNNNNNNNNNNNNNNNNNNNNNNNNNNNNNNNNNNNNNNNNNNNNNNNNNNNNNNNNNNNNNNNNNNNNNNNNNNNNNNNNNNNNNNNNNNNNNNNNNNNNNNNNNNNNNNNNNNNNNNNNNNNNNNNNNNNNNNNNNNNNNNNNNNNNNNNNNNNNNNNNNNNNNNNNNNNNNNAUACUUGGUUGCGACUUAUAGAGAGUUUUAGAAUUGCAACGACAUGGUGCUCUUUGAUAAUUCAAAAAUCCAAUAGAAUUUAUAGAGAAUUACAGAAUUGUGGUACGUGAUAAUUUGCUGAUGCAGUGAGGGGCCGAAAUUCUUGUACAUGUGAUUAAGUUAGAGAUGUAUAAUUAAGUAAUUAGCAAGCACUAAUGGGGGGUAUUUGUGUCCAUGAAAAUUUACGGUUGGUUGUUGACAUUAUACUGUGGGUGCGUAAGUGUAAUCACGAUCUGACCAUUCAAAUUAAAAAAUGGGGGUCCCACUAACUAUAAAGUUAAUAAUUAUCACAUAAACAGGGGGAAUUUUAGGUGCAACUGUGACACCGUGCCACAGUUGCACCUAGUCAUUGGAUGUCAGUAGACUCUAUUACUCCAACUGCAUCCAACGGUUAGAUGCAAUUGUGGCACGGUGCCACAGUUACACCGUAGCCUGAUCCCAUAUACAGAUAUGGUCGCAUAUGAAAAUCUUAUCAUAAAUUGAAAGGAUUCGAUGACUUAAUUGAAGUUAUGAACGGAUAUUUAAAUAAAAGAAAAUUUAUAAUAAAGAACAAGUAUUAAUUUGUUAUGAAUGUAACUUAUAUAAGCUGUAAGUUAGCGGGACUCUUCAAGUAAUUCUAAUAUUUUGAUUUUUAAUUUUUAUAUUUUAAAAAAUAUCUUCUGUAGUUAAAUAUAUUUUAUUUUUAUCCUUACUUUUACUUUACUUUUACAAUAAUAGCCUUCUAAAAAUUUUUUAACAUUAAUUAAGUUAUUUAUAAAAUUUUAAUUAUAAAAUUAACUAAUAAUUAUUUAUUAAUAAAUUAACUAAUAAAUAUCAGUACGAAAGAACUAAUAUUUUUUUAACCCAUGCAAUAAUCUUGCAAAUAAUUUUUUUAUAAAUAAAAAUUAAUAUCAACUAACUUAAAGUGGUUUUUAAUAUCCUUACAAUAAUUAUAUUAAUAUUUAUUUAUAAAAAAUUAAUUUGCCAAAUUAAUCUUAAAACUAAAUUAAUAACAUAAAAAUUUAUAAAACUAAUUAUUUUACUUUUCAUCGGCUGCAAUUUGUUGAAACUUGGGUGAAGACAAAUUGAGAUCUUAGAAAUCUCCAAUGAGAUAAUAAAAUAUAAUACAUAUGUUAGGUCUUUGUUCUUUAGGGAAUAGAUCCUAUUGAAAUUUGAACACGAAUAUCGAUUACUCACAAAUAAAACAAAUUUGCUGAGGCGGCUCGACUAAGACGUACGGGCAGCAUAAUUAAGUCCUCAUAACUCUCAAGUGCAGGCAUCAAAAAAUCAAAACUGAGAAUGACUGGUGAUAUAUAUAUAUAUAUAUAUAUAUAUAUAUAGACACCUCAAGCAAUUAAGAAAGAAGCAAAUUAUAAUCAUGGCUUCUAUAGCUGAUCAGGAAGAAGAGACAAAUAAUUUCUCACAUGCAAUGGGACUUGCAAGUGCAAUAGUGCUACCUGCAGUUAUGCAAGCAGUGGUAGAGCUUGAUGUGUUUGAGAUCAUAAGCAAAGCCGGUCCUGGUGCUAAGCUUUCGGUUGCGGAGAUUGUGGCUCAAAUUCCCUUAAAAGAUAAUAAUCCUGAAGCUGCAGCCACGACGUUGGAUCGGGUGCUGAGGCUGCUUGUCAGCUACAACGCUCUUCAUUGCUCUUUUGUCGAUGGACAAAGGCUCUACUCUCUUGCUCCUGUUUCUAAACACUUUGUUCGCAACAAUCGAGACGGCGUGUCGUUGCGUCCCUACAUGGCCUUGUGUCUCGACAAGAUCUGCUUGGAUGGCUGGUACAUAGAACUGCUUCUUUUCUUUACCGUUUCAGUAAAUCGAUCAUUUUCAUUCUCAUGAUUUAAAAUCGAUUAAACUCUGUUAAAAAGAUAUUUAAUUUUCAUUUAAUUUACCAUUAAUGUUAUAAAUGACACAAAAAGUAGAAAGUUAAUGAUUUCUUUUUUUUUUUAAUGACGGAGGAUUCUCAAAUAUGAAAACAAAAAUGAUUGAUUUUAACGAACAACAACGUUUUUUUUUUUUUUUUUUAUCGUUUCUCGACAAAAAUUAGUUUUUCGAAUUUCAAGGUUAAUUGUGUGGUCUAAUUCUUGAAUCACCAGCACCAAACCAAGCUUCUGAAAUAGUUGCUAACUGUGUUUGGAUUUUGGAAAAUUCAGGUUUGGAUUGAAAAAGCAGAUUCUUGAAGGAGGAAUUGCGUUUAAUAAAGCGCACGGAAUGCAAAUCUAUGAUUACUUAGGCGUCGACUCAAGGUUCAAUGAUGUUUUCAACAAUGGAAUGUUAAGCCACACACUACCCUGAACAUGAUAAUUUCCAAAUACCCUCAUAUUAAGGGUAUUAAUUAUGAUCUGCCUUAUGUCAUUAAAGAUGCCCCAUCUUAUCCUGGUAUGUUAUUUACAAAAUUUAUAUAGUAUGUUGGGUAAUGAUUUAUUGAUGCUACCCUAACUAAAAGAUGUGAAUUUAUUUAAAUUUCAGGCAUCGAACACGUGGGUGGAGAUUUAUUCGAAAAUGUUCCUGAGGCGGAUACCAUUUUCAUGAAGGUUUUUUCUCUCUAUCUAUAUAUAUAACUUUGAAAUGAUAAUUAUCAAGAGAAUGACAAUUUUCUCCUUACUGCUUUUGAGUUUUACAAUUUACUCAUUUGACGUCAAUUUUUUCAUUGAAAAACUCAAAAGGAUAACAAGAUAUUAUGAAAAUCGAAAAAAAAACAAUAAAACUCAAAAAUAGUAUACCGGAAAAAGUGUAAAUCUAUCUUGUCUAUGAAUUGAUAAUUGAUAUUCAAUUACAACUAAUUAAUGAGAAUUGAUAUGUAUAUGAAUUUUUUUUUGCAGUGGAUGCUUCACAAUUUUGAUGAUGAGCAAACUUUGAAAUUGUUGAAGAAUUGUUACAAAGCUCUUCCAGAUGGUGGGAAGCUGCUCAAUAUUAAUUCAACAAUUUCAGAAGUGCCUCAAAAUAGUGCGGCUUCAAGGGAAAUCUCUAUUUUGGAUACAAUUUUGUUGAUCCAAAUUCCUCAUGGAAGAGAGCGCACCAAACAAGAAUACAAUGAAUUGGCAAUUAAAGCUGGAUUUAAAGGUGUCAGCUACGAAUGUGGUGUAUGUAAUUUAUAUGUUAUGGAGUUCUUGAAAUAGAUUGCUUUUUUCUCUAUUCGGAAAGAUCUCCUUAGCUUUCUUGGGUUGUUUUCAAUUUCCGGUUUGUCUUGUUAUCUCUUUCCUUUGGAUUGAGGGCUUCUCUUAUGUAAUCUCUUUCGUUUUAUCAAUAAUAAAUCUCUUAUAGGGAGAUUGAUUCCCGUAUAAGGCAGCUCUUGCGUCAUCUCUUUCAUGAAUCAUGUUAUCAAUAAUACACCUUAUUGAAGAUGCCAAAAAUUCGAAUGUAGCAUUUUUUUUUUCCUGAAAAUUUGAAAAUAUUUGAAUUUAAUUAAUUUGAAACUCUGGUUAAAUCUAAAUAUAUAAACCUAAAUGAUAUUUCAUUUUUCUUUGUUAAAGUCUAAUCAUACUUAUUUUUAUUGGUAAAAACAUCCUAAAAACUAGUUUUUGACAUAUAUGUCUUUAAAUUAUUAUACACUUUUGUGUUUGUUGUAUUUACAUGUACGAAUAUUUAUAAUUAGAUAUUUGACAGGUACAAACAAAAAAUUAUAUUAAUAUGCUGUGUUAACUUUCAAAAGCCCAUAGUCCUUUUUGGACCAUAAAUAGAUAGAUCCACCCUUGUGUACAGGGCUGAUUUUUCCACAGAGCAGGCGUUUUGACACUAUUCUAAAUUCUUUAUAAAAUCUCUCUUUAAUUAAAUUACCUAAAUAACUAAGAAUAAAUUAAUUUCCUUUUUGUUUUGAAUGAAAAAUUAAUUAAACACUGAAAUAAACUAUUCUUUUAAUUUUUUACGCCCACCCAAUUUCAUAAUUUAUGCUUAUAUUUUAAAAUGCAAUUGAACAUAAUUUUUCUUAAGAAACUUUUAACAAUUAUGAAGAUAGAAAUCAUAUAACAAGAAAAAAAUAUUGUAAGAUUUUAAUAUUUGUAUGCAUUUAUAAUUAAAACAUAAAAGAAAUACUAUUUUUGGGUCAAAUUUAAUGACAAGAUGAUUGAUUUUAAUUUAUCAGUAUUUUAUAGUUAAAUUGGGGUAUCUUAAGCAAUAGGGUACAAAAGGGGUGCUGUAAGAGCUUUUUGCUUUAAGGAUUUUUUUAAAGUAUCUUAAAAGCUCCACUCUUUUUGAUAUAUCUAGAUUAGUGGUGAAUACUCUCUAGAUUAGUGGUGAAUACUUUAUAACAUGGUUUUUUUUUUUUUACUUUUAUAAUAAUACUUGACAUUUAAUAUUUAAAUCCUAAUUUGAAUCUUAACUAUAUGUCACUUAUCUAUUAAAUAAUGAAUAUAAUAUUACUUAUUACUCUAAUCGAUCAUCUAAUAAAUUAAUGUCACAUUUAAUGAGACUUAAAAUUUAGGAUCUAUAGCAUAAGUCACUAGAGUAGGAAAAAAAUUUGAGUUCCUUUACUAGACGAGUAUUUUGAUUAGGAAAAACUCUAUAAUGUUGUAAUUAAAAUGACGGUAUCAAUACCGUGAUAAAUACGAAUUUUUUAAAUCACGCAUAAGGCUAGUAAAUGAAAAGUAAAAUAAAUAAAUCAAUAUAAAGUGGUAAAUUGGCAUCUUAAAACUGCAAACUAAACAAAUACUUAUAAAAAUAACAUAAAACUUGUAAAUCAACAUUAAACUUUAAUUAAAAAAUAGUUUAUUCUCAUUCAAAAAAUAGUUUAUUCAUUUAAUUUAAAUAAAUGAUGAAAAAAUCACUCAUCAAUUGAAAAAAAAAAUUAAAAACAAUUGUAAUAAGUUUUAUUGAAUUGGUUUAACUAUAUAUUCUAUAUUCAUCCUAGGACAUUUACCACAAAAAAAAAAAAUUCUUUCUAUAGAUUUUGUUAGCCUAUAUGGCUAUAGAUAUUGAUUUUGAUGAUAACAAACCACAUAUAUUGAUUAAACAAAGAUUUAUGAAUUGUGCUUUUAUAAUAAGAAAAUGAUGUUAUGGAAUUAAAGUGUUUUGGACUAAAAUGAAAGUAUUUUAAAACCUUUGAUAUUGUUUUAAAAUUUCAGAUUUGGACAUAUUUGAAACUAUUUAAAUAUUUUGGGUCAUUUUAUAAUUUCACAUAGUUUGGGUGAAAUCAUAAUUUCAGAAAGUUUUGAGAUUGACAAAGUAUUAUUUAGAAACUCUGAAAUUGGACCUAUUUGAAAGCUUUCAUAACGUUUUGGGCCAUAAUAUAGUUUUAUAAAGUUUUGGGGUCAAACUAUAAAUUUAGAAAAUAUUUCACGGUAGCAGUUACUGUAGCAAGCGUCUAACCGGAUAUGGUAAACGGCAAUCCGAAUUUUAGGCAGUAAGCUUCUGGAGCAUAAACGACUAUCCGGAUUUCAAAAGCGGCUAUCCGGAUUUCAAAAGCGGCUAACUGGAUAUGAAAAGCGGCAUGCCGGAUAUUCUGAAAUUCAAAUUUUUGCUUUAACGGUAACAUGAAAGCGGCUAACCGGAUUCCAUAAACGGUAAGCCGGUUAUGACCAAAAAGUGCAUAACGACUAGUUUUUGAGCUCAAACUAUAUAAACUCAAAACCAAUUCAUUUUUGGUAAUCUUGGCAAGCAAAAAAAAGUGCACACAACAUAUAUUGAGUUUCAAUUUCGUAAAUCAUCAUUUAUUAAAUCAUCUUUGUUCUUCAAUUUGUAUAUCCACUCUUAAAAGAGAGUUUCAUUGUUGUAAUUUUCAUUUCUCAUCAAAUUGUGAGUGUACAAGUGUGAGAAACACUUGGGGUGAAGAGAUUGGAGAGAUAAUCUCUUGUUGUAAAGGUUCAUUGACACCUUGAAGUCAAUUGUAAAUGUUUGAAGCCUUGGAAAGGCUCGGAUAGUGAAAUCCUCAAGUCCGGUGUGCUUGGAGGCGUGGACGUAGGCGGGAAUUGCCGAACCACAUAAAAAUCCUUGAGUUUGCUUUCUCUUCCCUUGCUAAUUUUUUAUUGUGCUUUCAUUGAAUUUAUUAUUUUCGAAUUUAUUAAGGCAUUAGAUUGGAUUGUUGUGUGGUUUGCUUAGCUUAAUUUUUAAAAUCUCAAUUCACCCCCCCUCUUGGGUUGCCUAGUUAGUAUUUCAUUUGGUAUCAGAGCGAGGUGCUCUUGUGUAGACUUAACCAUCUAGAGUUAAAGAUCAAUGGCAACCCAAUAUGACUCAACAUUUAGGGAAUGACAGUCCACAAUUAGACCACCGUUCUUUGACAGAAAUGACUACUCGUAUUGGAAAACUAGGAUGAGAAUUUAUUUACAAGCACUAGAUUAUGAAAUUUGGGAAGUUGUUUGUGAUGGUCCUUUUAUGCCUUGGAUUAAAAAUGAAGUCGGGGAAGAUAUUUCAAAACCUUCACGGGAAUGGAAUGAAUUGGAAAAGAGAAAAGCUACUCUAAAUUCCAAAGUUAUGAAUGCCUUGUUUUGUGCACUAGAUAAGAAAGAAUUUCAUAGAGUAUCUAGUUGUGAGAGUGCUAAUGAAAUUUGGCACAAACUUGAAGUUGUUUAUGAAGGCACGAAUCAAGUGAAAGAGUCUAAAAUUUGUAGGUACACUCGGCAAUAUGAAUUGUUCCAAAUGGAACAAAAUGAGAGUGUGUAUUCUAUGUAUACUAGAUUUACGGACAUAGUGAACACUCUAGGAGCCCUAGGAAAGACUUUUUCAAAUAGCGAGAAAGUUAAGAAAAUUAUUAGGUCGCUACCUAAGGAAUGGAGACAAAAAAGGACUGUAAUUGAGGAAGUCAAAGAUUUAAAUAUCUUACCUAUUGAUGAUUUAGUUGGUUCUCUUAUUUCUUAUGAGGAAGACUUGGCAGCCGAAAAAGGCAAUGGGGAGAAGAAUAAAAGCAUUGCUCUCAAAGCCUCAAAAUAUAAGAGUGAUGAGGAAAGCGAGCUGGAUGAGGAGGAGAUGGAUAUGCUGGCUAGGAAGUUCAUAAAUUUUUUAAGAAAUCCAGUGAGCGAAGAAAAUUUAGAGACCUCAAGAACCGAAAGGAGAAGAAGGAAGUAAUCAAAUGUUAUGAGUGCAAGAAGCUUGGCCAUAUAAGAACGGAAUGCCCUCUUCUCAACAAGCUCAAAAAGAAAGCAAUGGUAGCCACAUGGGAUGAUAGCGAGGAGGAAACAAGUGAUGAUGAAGAGCAUCAAGAAAUGACAAAUCGAUCUCUUAUGGCAAUUGGAGAUGAAUCGGAUGAUGAACUUGAUGAGGUAAAUGAUCUUCCUACUUAUGAUGAAUUACAUGAUACUUUUAAAGAAUUGCAUGAUGAGUGGAUGAAAAUUGAUAAAAAGAAUGCAUGUCUUAAAAAGAAAAUGGUAGAGCUAAAAAAUGAAAAUGAAUCUCUAUGUGCAAUAGAAUAUCACAUAGAUGACUUGAAAAAAGAAAAUGAAAUGCUUAAGAAGAAGAGCAAUGAGUUAAAUGAGAUUGUUUUAAAAUUUACAAAUGGACAAAAGAUGUUGGAUAACUUGAUUAAUUCACAAAAAUGUGUGUUUGAUAAAGGAGGACUUGUUUAUAAGUCAAAUUUGAAACAAAAGUAUUAUAAGAACUACUUUGUGAAGAGUACAUCUAUUAACAAUCAAGUUGUAUGUCAUUAUUGUAAUCAAAACGGUCACAUAAAGUUUGGUUGUCCUAUCAAAAGAAAAGUAUAUUAUGGAGUAAAAUGUGUUUGGGUUCCAAAAGGAACCAUUGCUAACACUCAAGGACCCAAUAAUAUUUGGGUACCAAAGGACACAACGUGAAUGUUUUCUUUGUAGGUACCACAAUCAAGGAAUUGGGGAGAAAUUCCUUGAUGAAAGCUUGUGAGGAUAAUCACUUGAGUAUGAUCUAAGAGAAAAAGAUGAGGCAUGAUGAUUUAAUUGUUUUGGUAACAAUUCUUGCCAUAUUAAUUUUGUUGAAUGAAUCAUGAUAAAUGAAUUUGCGAAAGUAUGCUUGUAUGUUUACAUGAUGGAAUUAUCAUUGUGUAUAACAUUGAGUGAUUUAUCAUGAUGUCUUUAUUUGAUUUUGAUGAUUGUAUGGUCUUUGAUUUCAUCUUCUUAAUUGUCUAUCAUCAUUGUCCAUCUCUUAUAUAUGUGUGAACUCAUAUGCCAUUAAUUGUGUUAUAUCAUCAUUCAUUUAUAAAAUUGACAUCAUUGUUUGAUACGAUUUCAUAUGUUUGGUCUUGUAUACAUUUAUGUCUCAUGCAUGAAAUGGCUUAUUGAAAAAUUUUGAAUCUCAAAAUGAUUCAAAAAUUGAUCAAUUUUUAAGCUGAAAAUAAAUUGGUGUGUGUAAUACAAGUCUAAGAAUUUACUAAACUUAAAAAAUAUUCUCCAUAUUUUAACCGAUAAACCUCUUCUAAUCAAUCGAAAAACCAUUCUUCUUAUUGAUUAUUCUCUAAGUCAUAUUCCAGAUAACCGGAUUGGAAAACCAGUAAACCAUUUAAAGAGAAUUUGGUUUCUGGAAAGAACCGGUCAGCCGGUUAUGAAAUCCGGAAAACCGGAUCUAGUUUGAUGCUUGCUGGACACAACCGGAUAGCCGGUUAUGAGAUCCGACAAACCGGAUUUGCGUUGUUUACUUGCUGCCUCCAACCGGAUAACCGGAUUCGUGACCAUUCAUCACUGGACUUAACCGGAUUACCGGUUAUGUAAACCGGAAACCUGAAUUCACGUUGCACACUCACUGGACCACAACCGGCUAACCGGUUAGUGAAAUCCGGUAAGCCGGAUUCGGGCAUUCAUAUUUUGUUCAUCCUCUUCUCCUUCAUUCAAUCAAUUGGUUACUCUCUCACUAAAAACCACUUCCUCUCUCACGCAAUAUCUCUCUAAAAUCCAUCAAUCUCAUCCUUUUUCACUUCAAAUCCUUUAUACUUGUAUUUGAACACACCAACAUUUACUAUUUUAUUUUUCUUUUAUUUUGCAUUUGGAUUAUAUGGAUGUUUGCUAUGAUUUUGGAUUAUAUGUCUGUUUUGAAUAUGGAUUUGAUAUAGUUAUAUGUUAUGUUCUUUACUUAUGUUUUGGAUAAUUUUGAACUAAUGUGCUUGAUUUGAGGUUUUGAUGAUUGAUAGAGGGAGACAAAUAUGAUAUGUUUUUUGAUAAAAUCAUUUGGUUAAAAUUUUAAAUUGGUCAUAUAUUUAAGGGGAGCAUAUAAUAUGAUUUUGAAUAAUAUGCAUUUUGAACUUUUUUAUUGUCCAAAGGGGGACUGCUGUACGGCCAUGAAUAAUAUGCAUUUUGAACUUUUUUAUUGUCCAAAGGGGGAGACAAAGUAAUAUAUCAUUUCGAUGUUGUUAAAAAGAGGAGAAUAAUAUACACUUUAAGUAUUCUUUUAAUGAUUGAUAUUUGAUUAUGAUGAUGAUUUUGAGAUAAUGAUGAUUUGAUUACAUAGUUGUUUUAUAUGAUAAUUUUAUGUUAUGAGUUGUUGAUUUGGUAAUUAAUGGAAUAAUGGUUCAUGAUAUUUUGGUGUGAUGAUUUGUGUAUGGAGUUGGCUUGUAUCAUGAUUUAUAAUAAUUUGUGAGUAAUAUUACUAAACUUAUAUUUGAGGUAAUGCUUGUUGUUAGGGGGAGAAUGUGUUGAAAUUUCUACUCGGACAAACAUGAGUAAUAAAUUUGUUACUCUUAUUCUUUUCCUUUAAGCUUUCUUUUUUAUGAUGAAGGAGGAGAAUAAUAUAAAAAGUGUUAUAAAAAUAUGCAUGUAUCCAGGGGGAGUAUGCAUGUAUGCAGGGGGAGUCUUUUUAAAUAAUUUUUAAAUCAAAUUUUUAACCUUGCAUUGAUUAAGGGGGAGCUUUUCAUAACUAGAUUAAAUUUUUAUAAUGUGCUUUGUCAUCAUAAAAAAUGAGGAGAUUGUUAGCCUAUAUGGCUAUAGAUACUGAUUUUGAUGAUAACAAAUCACAUGUGUUGAUUAAACAAAGAUUUAUGAAUUGUGCUUUUAUAAUAAGAAAAAUGAUGUUAUGGAAUUAAAGUGUUUUGUACUAAAAUGAAAGUAUUUUAAAACCUUUGAUAUUGUUUUAAAAUUUUGGAUUUGGACCUAUUUGAAACUAUUUAAAUAUUUUAGGUCAUUCUAUAAUUUCACAUACUGCUGUACCGUACAUCCGCCUUGGCCGUACAGCAGAUAAUCUUGCAAAUAAUUUUUUUAUAAAAGAGUUUCAUUGUUGUAGUUUUCAUUUCUCAUCAAAUUGUGAGUGUACAAGUGUGAGAAACACUUGGGGUGAAGAGAUUGGAGAGAUUAUCUCUUGUUGUAAAGGUUCAUUGACACCUUGAAGUCAAUUGUAAACGUUUGAAGCCUUGGAAAGGCUCGGAUAGUGAAAUCCUCAAGCCCGGUGUGCUUGGAGGCGUCGACGUAAGCGAGAAUUGCCGAACCACGUACAAAUCCUUGAGUUUGCUUUCUCUUCCCUUGCUCAUUUAUUAUUGUACUUUCAUUGAAUUUAUUGUUUUUAAAUUUAUUAAGACAUUAGAUUGAAUUGUUGUGUGAUUUGCUUAGCUUAAUUUUUAAAAUCUCAAUUCACCCCCUCUUGGGUUGCCUAGUUAGUAUGUCAGAUUUGAUACUACACAUGUUAAUUAAGCAAUUUUUUUUUUGACGUGAAUCAAGUAAAAACAAAAUAGAAAGAUAUUCUUAUAUUACUAGAUGUACAUGAUAUAUCAAUAAAAUUGGAUCUAAUUUUAGUUUUAUAUAUACUUCAUGUAAUUUUAAACUAUGCUUCUUAUUGUACUUAAAUAUCAUUUAGGAUUACUGUCAAGGAGGCUUAAAAGAAUACAAAAUCACCUUAUUUUACAAACAGUGGGGUUUGAAAGUCUAACUUUGAGGAUAGGUUUAUUAUUAAUAAAAUUUCAUACAUAUCAUCACAUAUAUUACACAAACUCAAAACUAUAAUUAUUUAAUUUAGAAUCAAAAUUAGUAAAUAUAUAAGCUAAUCGUCACAUUAUGAGUUUUUAUUUUAUAUUUGUAAGUUUUUUUUUAAAUAACUCUUACAUUAAGUUACUUGUUUUACAUUCUAUUUACAAGUAUUAUAUUCUAUUUAUAUCAUUUAUAUUUUAUUUUAUGCUUAAUGUUGAUUUACCACAUCUAUGUUACAUGUAUAAAUUUUUAUUUUGUUUAUCAAUAAUAUACUGAUUUACCAUUUUUAUGUUAAUUUAUUUGUUUUACCUUCCAUUUACAAGUUUUAUGUCUCAUUUACUUUUUUUAUGUUGUAUUUACACUUUAAUGUUAAUUUACAAGUUUUAUAUUAUAUGUAUAAGUUUUUGUUUUAUUUACUAAUGAUACACCAGUUUACUACUCCUAUAUUAGUUUACUUAUUUUACCUUCUAUUUACAAAUCUUGUAUUCUAUUAAUAUAAUUUACAUUUUAUUUUACACUUAAUGUUGAUUUAUAAGUUUUAUGAUACAUCUAUAAGUUUUUAUUUUGUUUACUAAUAAAACAUUAAUUUACCACUCCUAUGUUGAUUUACUUGUUUUAUCUUCCGUUUACAUGCUUAAUGCUUCACUUAUAUAAUUUAUGUUUUAUUUUAUACUUUAUGUUAAUUAACAAGUUUUAUAUUACAUUGUAAGUUUUUAUUUUAUUUACUAUUGAUACAUCAAUUUAUUACUCUUAUAUUAAUUUACAUGUUUUACCUUUCGUUUAGAAGUUCUAUAUUCCAUUUACAUAAUUUAUAUUUUCAUUUACACUUUAUGUUGAUUUACAAGCAUUAUGCUAUAUUUGUAAGUUGUUGUUUUGAUUAACUAAUUUACAAAUCAUAUUUUAGUUUUAUUGUUUUAUCUUACAUUAAGUCAUUAACAAGUCUUAUGUUUUAUUUAUAUAAUUUAUGUUUGGAUAAAUAUUCAAUUAAUCCCAAUAUUUUGACUUUAAUGCCCAUUUAGUUCCUAUAUUUUAAAAAGUACCUCAAAACACCCAUGUAGUUAAAUAAAUUUUAUUUUUACCCUUGCUUUUGCUUUACUUUUACAAUAAUAGCCUUCCAAAAAAAAUUUAACAUUAAUUAGGUUAUUUAUAAAAAUGUAAUUAUAAAAAUUAACUAAUAAUUAUUUAUUAACAAAUUAAUCAAUAAAUAUCAGUAUGACAGAACUAAUAUUUUUCUUAAACCCAUGCAGUAAUCUUGCAAAUAGUUUAUUUAUAAAUAAAAAUUAAUAUCAACUAACUUAAAGUGAUGUUUAAUAGCCUUACAACAAUUAUAUUAAUAUUUAUUUUAUAAAAAAAUAGUUUAGCAAAUUAAUCUUAAAAGUAAAUUAAUAACAUAAAAUUUUUUAAAAAUAAUUAUUUUAUUUUUCACCAGCUGCAGUUUGUUGAAACUUGGUGAAGACAAAUUGAGAGCUUAGAAAUCUCCAAUGAGAUAAUAAAAUAUAUAUGUUAGGUCUUCGUUCUUUAAAGAGUAGAUCCUAUUGAAAUUUGAAAAGGAAUAUCGAUUACUCACAAAUAAAACAAAUUUGCUGAGGCGGCUCGACUAAGACGUACGGGCAGCAUAACUAAGUCCUCAUAACUCUCAAGUACAGGCAUCAAAAAAUCAAAACUGAGCAUGAUGUGUGAUAUAUAUAAAUAUAUAUAUAUUCCUCUCAAGGACUAUAUAUAGAUUUAUAUAGUCCUCUUAACUCUCAAGGACAGGCAUGAAAAUAUCAAAACUGAGGAUGAUGGGUGAUAUAUAUAAAUAUAUAUAUAUUCCCUGCCUUGUAAGACAAGGUCCUCAAGCAAUUAAGCAAGAAGCAAAUUAAAAUCAUGGCUUCUAUAGCUGAUCGGGAAGAAGAGGCAAAUAAUUUCUCAUAUGCAAUGGAACUGGCAAGUGCAAUAGUGCUACCUGCAGUUAUGCAAGCAGUGGUAGAGCUUGAUGUGUUUGAGAUCAUAAGCAAAGCCGGUCCUGGUGCUAAGCUUUCGGUUUCGGAAAUUGUGGCUCAAAUUCCCUUAAAAGAUAAUAAUCCUGAAGCUGCAGCCAUGACGUUGGAUCGGGUGCUGAGGCUGCUUGUCAGCUACAAUGCUCUUCAUUGCUCUUUUGUUGAUGGACAAAGGCUCUACUCUCUUGCUCCUGUUUCAGCAUACUUUGUUCGCAAUAAUCAAAACGGCGCGUCGUUGCGUCCCUACAUGGCCUUGUCUCUCGACAAGGUCCUCAUGGAUGGCUGGUAUACAGAAUUACUUUUUCUCUUUUCUUUUCUUUGCUAAUUUUGGUAAAUUAAGGAAAAUUAUCAAAACCUUCUAGUUGUCUAUAUACAUUAUUAAAUAUACAAGAUGAUAGUUGGUAGUUAUUGUCUAGUAAUAUGUAGAUCCCAGAUUGAAUUUGAUUUAAAAUCCACGAGCAUCGCUCCCGCAAAUGUUUCAUGUAAAAUUUUCUUUGUUUAAUCCAAUGGCAAAUAAAUUUGUUUUCAGUUCAAGAAAUUUUAUCAAUUACGUUAAUAAUUAGUCCUAACAUGAUUAUUUGAUUUUUUUUUAUUUCUUCAGUUCGUAUUGUUUGAACUAGUUUACAUGACGAGUAGUGCAAUGGGUCCAUAUAUUAUAUAUGAAUGGGAAUUUAUCACUAAUAUAUUAUAUAUGUGUCCAUAUAUUAUACUAUUCGUGGUCAAUAGCUGUAGCCAGGAGUGGCUCUCCUUGUUGAUAAACUGAAAUUAGCGCAAACCUUGAGGACAGGCAUGAAAAAAUGGGAACACGAGCAUGAUUUGUGAUGAGAUAUAAUAUAGUUGAACCCAUGCCUUGACUGAUUCAAUAGAAAGGAGGGAAAAAAGAAGGAAAACAGGGGCAAGCAAUAAAGAAGAAGCAAAUUAUAAUCAUGGCUUCUAUAGCUGAUCGGGAAGAAGAGACAAAUAAUUUUUCAUAUGCAAUGGAACUGGCAAGUGCCAUAGUGCUACCUGCAGCUAUGCAAGCAGUGGUAGAGCUUGAUGUGUUUGAGAUCAUAAGCAAAGCCGGUCCUGGUGCUAAGCUUUCGGUUUCGGAAAUUGUGGCUCAAAUUCCCUUAAAAGAUAAUAAUCCUGAAGCUGCAGCCAUGACGUUGGAUCGGGUGCUGAGGCUGCUUGUCAGCUACAAUGCUCUUCAUUGCUCUUUUGUUGAUGGACAAAGGCUCUACUCUCUUGCCCCUGUUUCUGCGUACUUUGUUCGCAAUAAUCAAAACGGCG